UCUAAUCCUCCCCCACUUGACUCGCCUGGAAUCCUUCCCCUCCCCCCCCCCCUUUUUUUCCCCCCCCCCCUUGGGGAAUUCUCCCCCAAUGGGGCGAAACCCUGACGGACCAAUUCCCCGUGAGGGAGGAAGGCCUCCUUGGGGUGUAAACCUCUUUUUUCAAGGAAGAACACAAUGCCGGUUCUUGAGGAAUCCGCAUCGGCUAACUCCCUUCCAGCAGCCGCGGUAAUACGGAGGAUCCAAGCGUUUUCCGGAAUGAUUGGGCGUAAAGCGUCCCCAGGGGGCUAUGUAAGUCUGCUGUUAAAGAGCGAGGCUCAACCUCAUAAGAGCAGUGGAAACUACAUGGCUAGAGUGCGUUCGGGGCAGAGGGAAUUCCUGGUGUAGCGGUGAAAUGCGUAGAGAUCCGGAAGAACACCGGUGGCGAAAGCGCUUUGCUUGGCCGCAACUGACACUGAGGGACGAAAGCUAGGGGAGCGAAUGGGAUUAGAUACCCCAGUAGUCCUAGCCGUAAACGAUGGAUACUAGGCGUGGCUUGUAUCGACCCGAGCCGUGCCGUACCUAACGCGUUAAGUAUCCCGCCUGGGGAGUACGCACGCAAGUGUGAAACUCAAAGGAAUUGACGGGGGCCCGCACAAGCGGUUGAGUAUGGGGUUAGAUUUGGAUGCAACGGGAAGAGCCUUGGCAAGACUUGACAUGUCGCGAACUUCUUUUAAAGGAAGAAGGUGCUUUUUUGGUUUGAACACAGGCGCGGGAUAGAAUAGGCAGCCCUUGUUAAUAUUCCUCAAUACAGUCCGCCAUGG
rnacentral:rRNA from 1 species